rnacentral:tRNA from 1 species
GGAGUUGUGGCUCAGAGGUAGAGCGCUCGCCUAGCAUGUGUGAGGCCCUGGGUUUGAUACUCAGCACCA